AGAUCUGAGAAGACAGCAGAGGAUGUCGGACCCACAGACGCACAUACUGGCAUGGUAUUCUUUACCCUCUCUUGUCUUGGUGACUCCCUAUGGAAUGCUGUGGGAAGAACUCAGUUCCCCAAGUUCCACUGACCUCAGCGGCAAAGAUGUUUGAAUUGAUUCUAGUUAAAAACCAUAAUUGAGGAUGGCACAGAUCCUGUAGUAAUGAUAUGAAUUUUCUGUCAAGAUAUGACUCUUCUGUCAGGUGUAUAGUUGUUUCUUCCUCCAGGUUCCUGCCUUGGAUUCCUUGGACUGUAAACUGUUACUCAAUAAAUUCUUCCAUCCUCCAACUUACUUUGGGCCUGUCCACUCAUUCUGAUACUGAGAGAGAUCAGUAAUAAACAGUAAGGGAAGAUGUUUAAUGAAUGUGUUGGAAAGAAGAACAAAUUAAGGGAUCCAGUGACCCCAAGAUCAUCUUCAAGCAGUUGGCAACCUGAUACUGGUGUUUGUGUGGGUCCCUCCAGAAUGUUUGAAAUUCCCACUCCUAAUUUGGUAUAUGGGACCUCCUCAGACACCCGAACCACAAGUGCUUUGAUCUCAGAAUUUCUGGAACCCAGAACUAUAAGAAAUCAGUUCCUGCCAUUUGUGAGGCGCCUGGGCUGCAGCUGGUGUGACAAAUUCAAUGGAUGAAGAUAGUUUUCAUUAUCAACUUGAUGGAUUGACUUUCAUAGCCAUUCUCAGAAGUCUGUAGUCAUAUCAUACUGUAGUUUUAAUGACUGAUGAUUUCUUUCUCCAUUCCUUCCAAUUUCCAUGUUCCAAAACAUCCUUUCUUUCCACACUCUCUAUUUAUCAAUUAGAUUUUCUUACAUUUGAGCUCAAAGAUUUUUUAAAAAAACAAUGUAGAACAAAAUGCCAAUGCUCUUGGGACCUUCCUUUGAACUUUAACCUCCUACUGCCAUGUUAUUGUACCAUGUUUUUCUAUUUUCUGAAGUGAUUUCUAAUUAUCUGAUUCUGAUUUGGUGGUUAUUUAUGAUGCUGAACAUCACUUAACAAAAGACUAAAAAAAUACUAAUCACUGCAUUUUAUACUCUCAGGGUUUGGUUGACUAGAUAGAUACUUCUUUGGUUUGUUGACAGUUAAGCAGUUCUUCUUUGAAGUACAGAGCCACAAGGUGGAGAGUACACAGUCAGAGCUCUGUUUAGGUCCCUUGCUCACACGUUCUCCAUAUGAGCUUCACAUCAGGGUGACUGUAAAAGCACAGGGAGCCUCAUCUUUAAAGAUACUGAUGCAAGAGACUUGAGGAAGAGACUGAGCAGCAUUGAAGUCUCCCAGGCAUCCCAGUGUGCCUCAAAAACAAACAAAACCACUCUAAUUAUGUAAUGUCUUUCAUGGGCUUCCAGUCUCAGCAGCAUAUUCUUAUCUUAUGAAGCACAAAUAUGAAAACACCAACAAAUUGCACUGCCCGCCAUUAUCAUUGCUUUGUUAAAAUAUAUUUUGUCAUCCUAACAUAAAAUUAAAUAAUUAAGGAAUAAAAUUAUGAACUCAAUAAAUUCAGUUUU